UACAGAGGUGGCAAGCGUUGUUCGGAAUUACUGGGCGUAAAGGGCGCGUAGGCGGCUUGGUCAGUCCCGUGUGAAAUCCCUCGGCUCAACUGAGGAACUGCACGGGAAACUGCCUGGCUUGAGUUCGGGAGAGGGAAGCGGAAUUCCAGGUGUAGCGGUGAAAUGCGUAGAUAUCUGGAGGAACACCGGUGGCGAAGGCGGCAUCCUGGACCGACAUUGACGCUGAGGCGCGAAAGCCAGGGGAGCAAACGGG
rnacentral:rRNA from 1 species